rnacentral:rRNA from 1 species
GAUGAACGCUGGCGGCGUGCCUAACACAUGCAAGUCGAACGGAGAUUACGGACGGAAGUUUUCGGAUGGAAGCCUGUAAUUCUUAGUGGCGGACGGGUGAGUAACGCGUGGGCAACCUGCCCUAUACAGGGGGAUAGCAGCUGGAAACGGCUGGUAAGACCGCAUAAGUCGGUUAAAUCGCAUGAUUUGAUCGGGAAAUGAGCAAUCAGGUAUAGGAUGGGCCCGCGUCCGAUUAGCCAGUUGGCAGGGUAAAAGCCUACCAAAGCGACGAUCGGUAGCCGGACUGAGAGGUCGGACGGCCACAUUGGGACUGAGACACGGCCCAAACUCCUACGGGAGGCAGCAGUGGGGGAUAUUGCACAAUGGAGGAAACUCUGAUGCAGCGACGCCGCGUGAGUGAAGAAGUAUUUCGGUAUGUAAAGCUCUAUAAGCAGGGAAGAUGAUGACGGUACCUGACUAAGAAGCCCCGGCUAACUACGUG